ACUGCAGUAAUGGCUGAUCAGUACUUUUUUAAACAACAACAAAAUAAUUAAAUCUUAAAAUGUUUCAAAUCUCAGUGUAAACUGAGAUUGCUUGGACUUUUUUUUUUUUUUUCAGGUUAUUACAAUAUGCAAGUGACAGCUGAACCCAUUGUCCCCCAACAGUGUUUCAUCAUACUUGUCAUUAAUCAUUAAUGCAUCACCUCUUAUGUACAGCAUGAAUCUCUCACAUUAAAAAGAUCACACUUCAUAUGUUAACAGGUUCCUUUUCAAUUCCCUCAUGUUUUCUUAGUUCUGAGAGCUUCUGUUCCUUGUUAUUUUAUGUUACUCAAGUAAGGUCAUGGUGUGGAUAUCAUUUUAAUCCUGAGGAGCUCAUGCUGUGUAUUGACUCAAUGUCAGAAUCUGACAUCAAAGCCUUGACUAGCUAAUCCAUGCCAGCCCUGUGGAGUUGAACAGAGGUUUGCAAGUGUGGAUACCUGGGCGGCAGAGCUGUGGAUGCUAGUGCGAUGCAGAUUGGUGGCCGUCACUUGGAAGUGCAGGGGCAUUCUGAGCGGGAUUAGAAUGGCGUAAUCCACUCAACGAAGAUGUGGUGGAUUCUCCCCUUUCGCUCGGUUCAGCGACCCGCCUUGCCGGAUUCUUCUCUCCUGCCGUCAUUACGGCUUGUGCCAGCCGUGGGUUCCGAUCUACUGUGUGGCAGGAGAUUCUACACCCUCUCAAGCUGUCUGCAAAAAGGGCUCGUCAUCUAUUCUGAUAAUUGUCUAUUAAAUAAAGAUAUCAUUAUACCCGCAUCUGAAUCCAGCCUGCUUCCUGACAGGGACCGAAUGGUUCUAAGAACAGUAAGGAUUUUUUACAGUAAUAUUUACACUUGAGCUUGAUUCGGCACAGCACUAUUACGAACCAUUCUUGGCUCAGAAUUCUCAGCACAGUUGGCUUACUAUUUUGAACUGUGCUGGUAGAAUGUGUGUAGUGACGUUGUUACUCAGAAUUGGUCACUUGUUAUCUGGCUUCUAGUUUCUCUCUGUAGUUGGACAAGCGUGCUAUUUGAGCACAUACCCACAUAGCAAACGGACUUGGCCCAAAUGUGGCCUCAAGCUGGCACUGCUGGCCUCCUGUCGGCAAUGGCAUGUACCCUUUCAGCCAGAGCUGGGCCAUGUGUGGCAAUGACGGCAGGGCGGGGAUCCGGCAAACAAUAUGAGGGCCGAUUGUUGGUGGGAGGAGUGUGGCCCAGAUCAGUCAGGUGAUAUGUGGCCCAAAUCAGGCUAUGAUCUGGCAGCAUAUUAUGUGACCCAUGAUAAACAAGAUGCAUGAUAAUGGUUAAAUGAUCACAUACAUUUUUAACGAAGUGUAGUAUUGUUAAUAUGUAGUCUUUGAAAUGGCAAGUCAAAACAGAAUGAAACAUUAUCAUUUCAAAAUUAAGCAAAUUAGUCAAGUGCAUUAAACUGCACUUAAUUAAAAUUUUAUUAAAUUUUAUAUUAUUAUUCUUGGUACAAAUAAUCUUAGAAUCCUUACAUGAAAAGAGAGUGAGAGAGAGAGAGAGAGAGAGAGAGAGAGAGAGAGAAAGAGUGAGAGAGAGAUCAUUUAACCAUCAUGUAAUAAUUAUUUGGUUUACCAUGAGGCACAUCAUUAUUAUUAGUAUGCUGUCAUGCACAAGCAUUAAAUAAAAUGAUCAUGAAAGUAUUUUAUUUUUUAUUU
ensembl:lncRNA